UUCCAUCGCUGCGAUGACUCACGCUAAAUUUUGUACGCCGACAGACGGCAAACAUUAUAAUGCGCUCAGUUUGUGCCGGCCAGUCAACGGGUUAACUGCCUAUACGACAUAAAUAUUGAUACAUUUCGUUACAACUCCGUCGGCGACACUACACCAUCCGAUAAUAUCAACAUGACUUACUACACGACCAGGUGCACUCCCACGGUCCGCCCGGCAGCCGAUUUCGACGCCGAAGCCGACGCCGCCGUACUUAGGGCAGCCAUGAAAGGAUUCGGUACGGACGAGCAGGCCAUCAUCGACGUGCUGGCAAGACGGUCCAACACUCAGAGACAGGAGAUCAAAGAAGCUUUCAAGACACUCUACGGAAAGGAUUUAAUCGACGAUCUGAAGAGCGAACUCGGUGGGAACUUCGAGAACGCCAUCGUCGCUCUGAUGACUCCACUUCCGGAGUUCUAUGCCAAGGAGUUGAAAGACGCCAUCAGUGGCGUGGGCACUGACGAAGAGGCCAUUGCCGAAAUUUUGGGCACUCUCAGCAACUUCGGAGUCCGAACCAUUUCCUCUGUCUACGAAAAACAAUACGGAAACUCGUUGGAAGACGAUUUGAAAUCCGACACUUCGGGAUCUUUCCAGAGGUUGUUGGUGUCUUUGUGCUGUGCCAAUCGCGAUGAAGACGUGGAAGUCGAUCGCAGCGCCGCAGUCGCAGACGCCCAGGCUCUAAUCGACGCAGGUGAAGCUCAAUGGGGCACGGACGAGUCGACUUUCAAUUCGAUUUUGGCCACCCGCUCCUAUCCACAGCUGAGAGCCAUUUUCGAAGAGUACGAGAACCUCACUGGCAAGGACAUCGUAGAGACUAUCAAGAACGAAACUUCCGGCGCUCUGGAACACGGCUUUUUGACCAUCGUGAAAAGUGCCAAGAAGAAGAGCGACUACUACGCCGACCAGUUGGAAGCUUCGAUGGCGGGCUUCGGCACCAGCGACCGUCAGCUGAUCAGGAUCAUCGUGGGCAGAUCUGAAAUCGAUUUGGGAGACAUCAAACAGUCCUACGAGACCAUUUACGGUACUCCGUUGGCCGACAGAAUCGCCGGCGACACCUCUGGGGAUUACAAGCGUCUGUUAUUGGCUCUCGUGCUCUAAUAAAGCUUAGAAAUGCAUGAGGAAAGGCACUUCAGUUCUUGCUUUAUACCUGUACCGACUUUUAAUUUCAUGGCGAUUGCGGAGCGGAGUGUAAAAGUCUAUUGAGAACUAUCGUUGAUCAAUAAUCAUAACUAUUUUUAUAUUAUUAUAAAAUAUAACAAUACCUUAAUACCAUGGCAUAUUAUACCUAAUAAUAUUAUUCAACGCAUAUGCUUUUUAUAAUUAUCGUUUCCGUAUAUUCUUUAGCUGUGCGUAUUAUACUAUUAUAUACGAUAUAUACCUACCUAUUGUUGUUAUCAGUAUUUAUUACUUUUUAAUUAUUACGUUCAUACCUAUAUUUUUUUAUAUUAAAUUUUGUGAACAAUUUAUUGAUAGUACGAAAACAAUGCACGUUAUAGUUAAUCGGCCCACACAAAUUAUAUUAUAAUUUUAUUGAAAUGCCAAUUAUUUAUUAGGUAAUUAUUAAAAUAUAUUUAAUUUAUCAUUUAUGUAAAAAAAAUUAUGAGUUUUUGGCCACACAAACUAUUAUAGUACCUAAUUAACUACUAUUAUGAAUGUAAACAUUCUUUUUUUAUACCAAUUUGAAUAUAUUAUAGACCGCUUAUGAGC